GCGGUGUGAAGUGGGGAAUGAAUAGGCUGUCAGUGUGUAUGUGGAGAGUGAAAGACUGGAGGAGGGGAGACCUGCCAGUGCUGGGAGGAAGAACAAAGCCCAGCUGUCCUCGGAGAACAGCAGCAGACGAAUCCAACACAGCAAGAUGCAAACCUCUGAUCAGCACCAAAAAUAGAAAGGGUAAAAUUGAGGCUCGAUCUGACCAAUCAGGACUGGAAACUGUGUUGACUUCCCAAGUGGAACAUGAGAGAAAGAAAAAAAAGUGCUUUUGUUUUUGAUCUUCAUUCUCAGAACUGUCAG
ensembl:lncRNA